AAUGAACGCUGGCGGCAGGCCUAACACAUGCAAGUCGAACGGAUCCUUCGGGAUUAGUGGCGGACGGGUGAGUAACGCGUGGGAACAUACCCUUUGGUACGGAAUAGCCUCGGGAAACUGGGAGUAAUACCGUAUGUGGUCGAGAGACGAAAGAUUUAUCGCCAAAGGAUUGGCCCGCGUUGGAUUAGGUAGUUGGUGGGGUAAUGGCCUACAAAGCCGACGAUCCACAGCUGGUUUGAGAGGAUGAUCAGAAACACUGGGACUGAGACACGGCCCAGACUCCUACGGGAGGCAGCAGUGGGGAAUCUUAGACAAUGGGGGAAACCCUGAUCUAGCCAUGCCGCGUGAUCGAUGAAGGCCUUAGGGUUGUAAAGAUCUUUCAGGUGGGAAGAUAAUGACUGUACCACCAGAAGAAGCCCCGGCUAACUCCGUGCCAGCAGCCGCCGUAA
rnacentral:rRNA from 1 species